GUCGGACUCUCCGAGACUUCUGGAAGCUGCAGAGAGCGCUUCUACUGCAGAGAGGGAGCAACGUCUGCAACUCCCGCGGAUGGACCGACAGGAGGUCUGUGUCCAGCAGGAAGUUACUGUCCUCUCGCAUCCUCCUCUCCUUUCUCCUGUCCACCCGGCACCUUCAGCAACAGCACCGGCCUCAGCGGACCUGAGGAGUGUAUCAGUUGUCCACAAGGUUUCUAUUGUUUAGGAUCCAACAACACCUCCCCGUCGGGUCCUUGUUUCCCUGGUUUCUACUGCACGGGCGGCUCAGCUUCGCCUGUCCAGAACGAAGCCGAGGAGGGUUUUUAC